AUUGAACGCUGGCGGCAGGCUUAACACAUGCAAGUCGAGCGGGGCGGCGGACGGGUGAGUGAUGCCUAGGUAUCUGCCUGUUCGUGGGAGCUAACGAUAGGAAAUGGGCGGUGAUACCGACUACUAUCAGAUUAGCCGAGGUCGGAUUAGCUAGUUGGUGGGGUAAAGGCCUACCAAGGCGACGAUCCGUAGCUGGUCUGGGAGGAUGAUCAGUCACACUGGGACUGAGACACGGUCCAGACUCCUACGGGAGGCAGCAGUGGGGAAUUUUGGACAAUGGGCGAAAGCCUGAUCCAGCCAUGCCGCGUGUAUGAAGAAGGUCUUCGGAUUGUAAAGCACUUUAAGUUGAGAGGCGUUACCUGCAGAAUAAGCACCGGCUAACUACGUGCCAGCAGCCGCGGUAAUAC
rnacentral:rRNA from 1 species